rnacentral:sRNA from 1 species
AUGUCCUCGUUAGGUGAGGCUCCUAUACGAACACAAGCCACUGCCCGGAAACAUCGAAAGAUGCCAAUGGGUAUAACAGGAAUUGCCGGCUUAAGGCUCUUCUUAACGUGGCUAAAGAACCGGGUUCUUUUACGUCGUAUAGUGCCAAAGCUCGGCU